GAGUUCCCAGAAAUUAAUUUUAAAUGUUUAGCCAACAAAAGCCACAAAAAGAAUUUAUUUCAGUAAAGUAGGAAAUAUUUGACAUAAUUAAGUUCUACACCAAAAAACAUUGGAUUAGAAUAUCCUUUGAAUUUUAGUAUAUGUUUUUUUGGCAUUUCAUGAAAAUUAGAGUUACUGUCCUAGGUUGUGCUAAUUGUUAUUUCAUCUUUUAUUCUUAGAAUUUGGUGGUUAUCUAUCUUGUCAUGGACUGAUGAUGGGUUGUACUAAAUAUGAGCAUCCAGUGUGAAAUGUACAUAGUAUAUUGUAAGUUAUGUUGUAAGGAUAUCUGUUUCAAUCAGGUAAGUAAACUGCUUGGACUGUAACAAUAUUUCAGUAUCUCACAAAUGAAAAUACUGAGCCAACACACAAAAGAUCACAGAUUCGAAGCUUGCUCGUGACCCAAUUUUGUUCAGUCUAUCCAGCUGUGAAACGGAUACCAGCUAAUAAUUGGAGUUAACUUGUGAUGGACUGGCAUCUCAUCUAUAGGGUGUGUGUAACCAUUCUCGUGAAACGGAUACCAGCUAAUAGUUGGAGUUAACUUGUGAUGGACUGGCAUCUCAUCUAUAGGGUGUGUGUAACCAUUCUCAUGAAACGGAUACCAGCUAAUAGUUGGAGUUAACUUGUAAUGGAUCUAUAGGGUGUGUGUAACCAUUCUCAUCAGCUCUACCACUUGAAACUAGAGUUAAGCACUGAUCCUAUGUCCAUUUCAAGACUAACUUACUUUUACCUCUGGAGUUUUUUAUAUCACUUUACAGUAACUUAUGUUAAUUUAGGUAUAAGAAUAAUGUUAGGACAUUGCACCAAAUUAACUUAGGCUACUGUAUGGUGACUUAAAAGGACUCAAAAACCCUAUAGGUAUAAUAUACACAUCACCAUUAUAAGAGGCUUAAUUGUAUUUCUUUAGUUUUUUACCCAAGCUGUGGUGAUGAGCCUUGAAUAGGAAAAACUGCAGUCCACAGCAGAGGGUAUGGCCAAUCAGAGAAUGCAUUAGGCCUUUAUGUCACAGAUUCACUUUUCAGUUUUAGCUUUGGUGAAAAAGAAAAGAAAUCUGUGACACACACACACACACACAUAUUUAUAUAUAUAUAUAUGUAAUGAAAUAAAUAGCUUCAAUACUAUUAUUUUCAUUAAUUGUUAAUAGGUGAUUUUAAAAUCAUCACUAUUGAUUGAAAUGAAACCACCCUAAAUUUUUACUAUAUGUUACUCCCAACCUAUACCCUAAGUGUUUUCAUUUCAUUUUUACUUUAGGAAUUAGAAGAACAUUUAAGGGUAACUGCCUUCCCACAACUGGUUGCAGACAGUGGAAGGCAGUAAGAGUCGAGACAUUAACACGAUGAAGUUGGAUGAAGUAAAACCCAAAGUGUUUGUAUAAAUAAAAGUUAUUCGACACAGUCAUCUUUAAUUUUAAACUGUGUUUUCCUCUCAGUGAAUCAAUCACUAGAAGCAGUAGUAUAUUUUACAAGAAUCUUGAAGAAAGAAAAUCGAGGAAACCGUUUCAAGAGAUUCCAUAAGCUUGACUAUAAGUCAUUUGUAAAGUUUGUUACAUCUGUCUGGCACUGUGAAGAUAUUGCAGGAUUUAGAUUGAACUCUUGCUACUAACUUCUUAUAUAAAGUAAUUGAAAGCUAAUUCAAGAAUCUGGAUGGAACCCCUGAUGUGUAAUGAAAAUGGUGCAGAAAAAAUAAAUGAAAAUACUGUUUCAAUUGAAUGGAUAGUUUUAUUGUAGAUUAGAUAUCUAGAUAAUUUACUUAUGAUGUAGCAGGGUAAGAUUAAUUUUUAAAGUUAUAUUAAAAUUAUUUUGUUACAGUCUGUUAUGAAAAAUAUUAUCCUGUCUGUCUUUCCAGAAAGUAGAGUUAUCAAAGAUUUUGACAGUCUUUGAAAUUUAACCAUAUAGACUCCAUCUUCUCUAAAAUAUUAACGGUACUAAAGAAUGUUUAGCUGUUAUGUAUCUUACCAUGAAACUGUAAAAUAUUACCGGUACUAAAGAAUGUUUAGCUGUUAUGUAUCUUACCAUGAAACUGUAAAAUCAU
rnacentral:lncRNA from 1 species